UAAUCAGGUGGGAUAAUUCUUACCUAUUUUUCCUUUUGGUGCUGAUUGGAGAUGCAGGAAACGUGGUCAACAUCUCUGAGUAAUCAGGACUUGAUUGAUUGCUCCUUUCUGAU
ensembl:snoRNA U8 U8 small nucleolar RNA